rnacentral:rRNA from 1 species
UACGUAGGGACCGAGCGUUGUCCGGAUUUAUUGGGCGUAAAGAGCUCGUAGGCGGCUGUUCAAGUCGAACGUGAAAACUCGGAGCUCAACUCCGAGCCUGCGUUCGAUACUGGACGGCUAGAGUCUGGUAGGGGGAUCUGGAAUUCCUGGUGUAGCGGUGGAAUGCGCAGAUAUCAGGAGGAACACCGGUGGCGAAGGCGGGAUCCUGGGCCAGUACUGACGCUGAGGCGCGAAAGCUAGGGGAGCAAACGGG